rnacentral:rRNA from 1 species
AGAGUUUGAUCCUGGCUCAGAACGAACGCUGGCGGCGUGCUUAAUACAUGCAAGUCGAACGUGAUGUGUAGCAAUACACUGAAAGUGGCGAACGGGUGAGUAACACGUAAGUAAUCUGCCUUUAAGAUUGGGAUAACCCUGCCAACGCGGGGCUAAUACCGGAUGUGGUCCAAGUAACGCAUGUUAUUUGGAUUAAAGGAGCAAUCCGCUUAAAGAUGAACUUGCGGCCCAUUAGCUAGUUGGCGGGGUAAUGGCCCACCAAGGCAACGAUGGGUAGCCGGCCUGAGAGGGUGAACGGCCACAUUGGGACUGAGAUACGGCCCAGACUCCUACGGGAGGCAGCAGUAGGGAAUUUUGCGCAAUGGACGAAAGUCUGACGCAGCAACGCCGCGUGAAGGAUGAAGGCUCUCGGGUCGUAAACUUCUGUUGGAUGGGAAAAAACUCCCGCAAGGGACUGAUGGUACCAUUCGAGUAAGCACCGGCUAACUACGUGCCAGCAGCCGCGGUAAUACGUAGGGUGCAAGCGUUGUUCGGAAUCACUGGGCGUAAAGAGAGCGUAGGCGGGACUGUAAGUUAGAAGUUUAAUACAUGGGCUCAACCCAUGAUCUGCUUUUAAUACUGCAGUUCUUGAGUAUGGGAGAGGGCGAUGGAAUUUCAGGUGUAGCGGUGGAAUGCGUAGAUAUCUGAAAGAACACCAGUAGCGAAGGCGGUCGCCUGGCCCAAUACUGACGCUGAGGCUCGAAAGCUAGGGGAGCAAACAGGAUUAGAUACCCUGGUAGUCCUAGCCGUAAACGAUGAACACUAGUUGCUGGGGGAGUCAAUCUUUUCAGUGACGAAGCUAACGCAUUAAGUGUUCCGCCUGGGAAGUACGUCCGCAAGGAUGAAACUCAAAGGAAUUGACGGGGGCCCGCACAAGCGGUGGAGCAUGUGCUUUAAUUCGAUGCAACGCGAAGAACCUUACCUAGGCUUGACAUGGGGGUGAAAUUCCGUAGAAAUAUGGAACCUUCCGCAAGGAACACCCCACACAGGUGCUGCAUGGUUGUCGUCAGCUCGUGUCGUGAGAUGUUGGGUUAAGUCCCGCAACGAGCGCAACCCUCGUCCUUAGUUGCUAACAGGUAAUGCUGAGAACUCUAAGGAGACUGCCUGGUUUGACCAGGAGGAAGGUGGGGAUGACGUCAAAUCCUCAUGGCCCUUACGCCUAGGGCUAGACACGUGCUAC